rnacentral:rRNA from 1 species
GUAGGUGGCAAGCGUUGUCCGGAAUUAUUGGGCGUAAAGCGCGCGCAGGCGGUUCUUUAAGUCUGAUGUGAAAGCCCACGGCUCAACCGUGGAGGGUCAUUGGAAACUGGAGAACUUGAGUACAGAAGAGGAAAGCGGAAUUCCACGUGUAGCGGUGAAAUGCGUAGAGAUGUGGAGGAACACCAGUGGCGAAGGUGGCUUUCUGGUCUGUAACUGACGCUGAGGCGCGAAAGCGUGGGGAGCAAACAGGGAUUAGAUACCCUGGUAGUCCACGCCGUAAACGAUGAGUGCUAAGUGUUAGGGGGGUUUCCGCCCCCUUAGUGCUGCAGCUAACGCAUUAAGCACUCCGCCUGGGGAGUACGGCCGCAAGGCUG